GGCAGGAAGAGGGUGGAUCAUAAUGGUGUU
rnacentral:piRNA from 1 species